CAGUCGCCGCGGUAAUACAGAGGGUGCAAGCGUUAAUCGGAAUUACUGGGCGUAAAGCGCGCGUAGGUGGUUUGUUAAGUUGGAUGUGAAAUCCCCGGGCUCAACCUGGGAACUGCAUCCAAAACUGGCAGGCUAGAGUAGGGCAGAGGGUGGUGGAAUUUCCUGUGUAGCGGUGAAAUGCGUAGAUAUAGGAAGGAACAUCUGUGGCGAAGGCGACUAUCUGGGCCAACACUGACACUGAGGCACGAAAGCGUGGGGAGCAAACAGGAUUAGAUACCCCCGUAGUCCCUGUCUCUUAUAC
rnacentral:rRNA from 1 species